rnacentral:rRNA from 1 species
GACGAACGCUGGCGGCGUGCUUAACACAUGCAAGUCGAGCGGUAAGGCCCUUUCGGGGGUACACGAGCGGCGAACGGGUGAGUAACACGUGGGUGACCUGCCCUUAGCUCUGGGAUAAGCCUGGGAAACUGGGUCUAAUACCGGAUAUGACUCCAUGACGCAUGUUGUGGGGUGGAAAGCCUUGUGCGGCUAGGGAUGGGCCCGCGGCCUAUCAGCUUGUUGGUGGGGUGAUGGCCACCAAGGCGACGACGGGUAGCCGGCCUGAGAGGGCGACCGGCCACACUGGGACUGAGACACGGCCCAGACUCCUACGGGAGGCAGCAGUGGGGAAUCUUGCGCAAUGGGCGAAAGCCUGACGCAGCGACGCCGCGUGGGGAUGAC